AAUGUUAAAUAUGAAUAAAGUUACACGCACUAUAAAGAACACAACAACACAGCAAAUUAUACAUACUUUUUUUUUUUAGUACAAACAAGUUUCAAAGAAUCAAGUAAACACACAAUUUGACACUAGAGGUCGUUAUCAUAACCAUCUUUGGUUUUAGAGAUUCUUGAAGAGGAAGAAUAAUUAAAGUUUAUUAGAUUUCCAAUUUAUUAGUAUGCACAAUGUUUCUUCAGGUGAGUAUGUUACAGACACAAACACACAUACUAAAAGAAGAGAAAAAUACAGGAGCAGUAGAAACAAAAUGGGAGAAUCUACGUUUUAAGGUACAUGUUGUUUUUAAGGAACAAUGAUUACAUAUAGAGAUAGAUUCAAGAUUCACGAAAGGCAAAACUCCCCCACUAAUCUGAGACAAGUACCCUCAGAUCAUUAUCAUCAUUACAACUAGAACAUUGCUAACUGAUCUUGGAUGGUCACAUCUUGAAAUGUCCGCAUUUGAUUCUUCUAAGCAUAAAAAAACAUUUAUCUAAUGGUAAUUGAUCAACACCACAAAAGAAGGGUCCAUUGUAAAAAUGAUCGACACCAAUAUAGAGAAACCAAAACUUGCUAGACACAGAGAACAUCCAUUUUUGUGUCUUUCAAAUCCCUUAACGUGUUUCUGAUCCAAUCCAGCUUGCUAUAAAAAAAAAUUUUGUCUACUGUUAUUGCUUUAUAUUAGAAACAUUUGGGAUACAAUGAUCGUUUUGUAUUAACUGUUUCUAUUGAGUGUAACACAAGCACUGUACAAUUUUGAGUUUCAUUACCUCACAUACAUUGCAAUCUCCAGCCUCUCCUAUAAGGAGGCGCUUCUAGAUCUUAAUGGAGAACAUACUGGUUUCUAAACAGAUCUUUGACUAAAACAGUACCCAGUAUUUCAUUUACAAUUAUCAAAAUCAAUCUGAAGUCUAUUUUUUGAAAGAAAAUCGUCUUUUACUUUUUACCUAACCUCUUCUGCUCUAGCCUUGACCUUGGCGUGAAGACGAUGGUUCAUCAGCGUUAGACCCCUGAAACUGCCUUGGCUGUUGUGUUUGAGGCUGAAGUUGCUGAUUUACCUGCUCAGGCGGUGGUGGUACUGCUGCACUGGGAGAAGCUUGGUGGUGUUGAAUCAUAUUCAUGGGGAACCUAAAGCGUUGUUGUCCUUGGUGGAAUUGCUGUUGCUGCAGAUGGUAGUUGUAGUUCAUCACUGGCCUCACUGCUUGUUGCUGCUGAUUGUAGUUGUAGUUCAUCCAUGGCCUCACUGCUUGUUGCUGCUGAUUGGAGUUGUAGUUCAUCCAUGGCCUCACUGCUUGUUGCUGCUGAUUGUAGUUGUAGUUCAUCACUGGCCUCACUGCUUGUUGCUGCUGAUUGUAGUUGUAGUUCAUCACUGGCCUCGCUGCUUGUUGCUGCUGAUUGUAGUUGUAGUUCAUCACUGGCCUCACUGCUUGUUGCUGCUGAUUGUAGUUGUAGUUCAUCACUGGCCUCACUGCUUGUUGCUGCUGAUUGUAGUUGUAGUUCAUCACUGGCCUCACUGCUUGUUGCUGCUGAUUGUAGUUGUAGUUCAUCACUGGCCUCGCUGCUUGUUGCUGCUGAUUGUAGUUGUAGUUCAUCACUGGCCUCACUGCUUGUUGCUGCGGCUGGUUGUAGUUCAUCCAUGGCGGCUGAUUUUGCCUUCCCUGGUUCAAGGGAUGCCUAGCACUAAAAGCCCCAAGUGAUCCACCUGAUGAUCCUCCUAGACGCUCCAAGUACUCUUGAUACCCCUCUGAAUCCCUAGGAGCUUCAAUUUGCCAUAGAUGCUGUUGGCUCAUACCAGGCUGAUGGUUUUGCCUUUUCCUGGAGGAGGAGCUCUCACCUGCCUCAUACACUUUCCGCUUUCCCCUUUGCUGAGUAAACUCAUUCUGAACAGGUGCAACUGGUCGCUCCUGCUGAUAUGGAGGCACACUUGGUCUAAGAUGCGACAUCAUCAUCUGUUGUGACAUUUGAAAAGGAGCAACUGAUCCCUCCUGCUGAUAUGGAUGAGGCAUUUGAAAAUGUGCAACUGGUCGCUCCUGCUGAUAUGGAUGAGGCAUCAUCAUCUGUUGAGACAUUUGAGCGCCAGAAGGAACAAGACCACGGUUCUGUUGACUUGCAGACGAUAUUGAGCCACGUCCCAUCGUUUCACCACUCCUAUGAAACUGAAUAAGACCUGGAUCAUUAGUAACAAGACUAGGACUAACCUAAGCCAACGUUAAUGGUGGGCACAAGAAGCAGAGAUAACCAGAGACAAUAGACCUAGACUCUACCACUUGUACGACUAAACCUAAUCCAACAUUAAUGGCAGGACAAGAAGCAUAGCAUAGCAAAACAUAAACAAUAUGCUUAGACUCUCUAAUCACUUAAAAGAGUUCUUGAUCAUCACAAAGUUUGGGAUGUACCGUGCUCGAGUCUUCUUGACGAUUCUGGUUCUCAGUUGCUUGGUCUUGUAUGCUGAGACUAAUAGCAGAAGUGUUGGGAUUAGAAUCAAGAGGACGGUUGAGAUCACUUGCAAACGAUGCUGAGCCACGUUCCAUCAUUUGACCACUCCUAUAAAUCUGAUCAAAACUUGGAUCAGUACGGAGUAGUAACAAGACUACGUCUAACUAAUCCAACGUUAAUGGCGGGACGCGAAACAGAGCGAAACAGAGCGAAACAGAGCGAAACAGAGCAAAACAGAGCAAAACAGAGACAAUAUACAUAGACUCUAAUCACUAAAAACGUUCUUGAUCAUCACAAAGUUUAGAAGGUACCGUGGACGAGAAUCCUAAUGACCCAAAAGUUUCCUCCUCUGUAUUGAACUGAAUGCCACCAAGAUAGGGGCAAGGACUAUACGGGUUCUGUUGUUCACUUGCAAAAGAGGUUGAGCCACGUUCCAUCGUUUCACCACUCGUACGAAUCUGGUUUAAGUCUUGGAUCAGUACUAAUGUAGUAACAAGAAGCAGAGACAAUAUGCUUACCGCGAUCGCGUCUUCUUGACGAUUCUGAUUAAGAGAGCUCUCGAUAGCUUCUUCAUUGACUUCUUCUUCGGUUGUUUUGGCGGGAUCAACCUCCUCUCUCUGCACUUCGUCUUUAUCAGUUGGAGAAGUAGCCAUGGCCAGAUAUGAGAGAAGUUUCUAGAGAGAAAGAUGAGAGAGCGUAGAAGAAGAAACAAGUUAAAGAUCUUCUAAUAUAUGGCGCGAGUGCUUAGACCGUUAGGGUUUGUAAGUGCGUGUGAAACUCCACACUAACCGAAUCGUUGGAAUCUCACGCGCUUAUGAAGAGUGAGUAGUUACUAAUUACACCAAAAAAGGGUAGGAGAGUCAUUUUUAAAAAAGAUUAUGUAGAGUGAAGAGCAAGGAACCUGACUCCUUUGUUUUGAGUUUUAUAUAAGGGAUGGUAAUUGUUUUCAGAGAGUUUUGAGAAAGAGAAAUGGUUUAUUUAAUCUCGCCAUCUUUGGUUUUAGUGAUUUCUUGAUGAAUAAGAACACUGUUUAUUGGACCUCUACUGAUUAGUAAGCACAAUGUUUCUUCGGAUGAGUAUGUUUAGGGCUGGGCACACUUAUCGGUUCAGGAAUUACCCGAGCGACUUAUAUCUCUAAAACCAAAAAAUCAAAACUGAAUCGGAACCGAACCAAAAACCGAAUAAGUAUCCAAAUUUAUAUAAUAUAGUUUAUAGUUUAUAUACAAGUAAAUAUUAACAGUCAUUAUUGUGCACAAAAAAAACAGUCAUUGUUGCAUUUAAACUAAUCAAUUAAAAUACUACAUACAAACCAAAAUACCAAAAAAAAAUUACCAUAAUAAAUUUUAUCUAAAAUAUUUUAAUUAUCCAAAUUAUUCAAAAUUUUAUCCAAAAAUCCGAAAAAUCUGAUAUUUAAUUCGAAAACCAAAUUUUCUGUUUUUAAUAUGGAUUACCAGAAAACCGAAACCAAACUAAAACCAAAUGAAAUCCAAAUUUUUCUCGGAUAUUAGUCGGUUGCCAAUUUUGUUACCCGAACCAAAAUUUUUUUAAUACUAUAUUAGAUACUAAAUCUCUAGAAUUAAAAAAAAAAACAAAACUAAACCGGAACAGAAUGACAAAGACAAAAUAUGUUACAGACACAAACACACAUACUAAAAAAAAUACUGUAUACAAGAGCACUAGGGACAAGGACAAAGUGGAUCCGAAUCUACCGUUCACAAACAUGUUUUCAAGGAACAAUGAUUACAAGUAGAGAAAGAUUCAAGAUUGACAAAAGGCAAAACUCCCCCACAAAUCUGAAAUAAACACAUUGCAACGAGGUUAAGAAAGUAAGCAUUUAUUAAGCCACAUGACCAAGCUUUCUAUACACAUUUCCUAAAAUCCUUUAUUAAUAAAAUAAGUCCUAAAGCAGCAUAGUCUUUAUUCACAUAAGAGAUGACAAUACUAAAAGAUCAACCAAAACCAAUGCAAGAAAACGGCCCAACAGAAAUUUUGCUACAUAAUUUGGAAAAGUUCAACUAACUAGUUAGUUAUAAAAGUUGAUUAGACAGUCCUUCAGAGACUCUUUUGAGAUAGUGAAGAUAAUCAUGUCACUUAGGCUUCUGCUUAGUCUCGACCUCCCCUCCCAAGACCUCUGGCUCUACUGCGAUGACUUCCUCUGCCACGGUAAGAAGACUGUCCUGCAGCAUUGAACAUCCUCAUAGAACUCAUUUGGUUUUGCUGAUUAGUCACAGGUCCCAUGGAUUGCUGGUUGUACAUCACUGGAGCUGCUGCACUUUGAGAAGGUUGUUGGCGCAUACCAAAAGGCUGGUUGGGAUUGUUCUGACCUAAAAACAUUGUUGAUGCUUGUGCUCCAAGGUUUGGUUCUGUAAUCUGACUGCCAUACUGCUGGUUGUACAUCAUUGGAGCUUGAACUGGGAAUGGAUUGGGAACAACUCCCAUAUUGUUCGGCUGAUUGAUCUCACGUCUCAUGAAAUGAUGCGGCGGAUUGUAUACCAUUGGAGCUGCUGCAUUGAGAAAAGGUUGUUGGAACAUGCCAAAAGGCUGUCUGAGAUUGUGCUGACCUAGUUCUGUAAUCUGACUGCUCCUGAAACCAUGCUGCUGGUUGUACAUCAUCACUGGAGCAGCUUGACUUGGGAGUAGAUUCUGAUUGAUCUCAGGUCUCAUGAAAUGAUGCGGCGGAUUGUAUACCAUUGGAGCUGCUGCAUUGAGAAAAGGUUGUUGGAACAUGCCAAAAGGUUGUUUGAGAUUGUGCUGACCUAGUGGCUGGUUGUACAUUAUCACUGGAGCAGCUUGACUUGGGAGUAGAUUCUGAUUGGUCUCAGGUCUCGUGAGUUGCUGCUGUUGGUUGUACAUCAUUAAAGCUUGACAUAGAAUUUGAAGUAGAUUGGGAACAAUGUCCACAUGAUGUGGCUGCAUACAAAGAAAUUGGUUAAAAUUGUCUUGGCAUUGUCCCUCAUAAUGAUUGCAAGUCCUCAAAAUCUUCUUGUUUGAGUUAAUGAUUUCUUCUUCACUACUCAUCCUUCUCCUCUUUGUUGUUGUACUCUGGCAGUCAUUAACUUCUUCUUCUUCUUCAAAGAUGUCAAACGCAGCCCUUACUGGAUCAUUAAAUCUCUUGAACAGAUCCUCUUCAUCAAUAUAUUCUGCAAUUUUCUGGACGACUAGAGGGAUAAGUGUACCGCGAGGCGUUUUGAUGUCUGAUUCCAUUCUCACAACGUAGAAAGGUCUCCUUACAUAUCCAAAUCCAAAGUAGUAACCAACCACACGACCAAAAGGAGCUCUUGUUUCACUUAUAAGCAAAGUAGAACCUACUUUCAAAGUUCUAUCCUCUCCGAUCAUCUCAAGUACCACAUGACGUGCCCUUACAACCUGUGAUAACAAACAUAGUUUUAAAAUUCCUCUUGAUAUUCCCAUUGAUGUAGCUUCUAGGGGUUUUUUUUUUUUUGUUGUUGUUGAUAAAGGUCUAUAUUCUCUCUAGCUACACGAUUUAUAGUUAAGAAAUAGCAGAUAUCUCGUAGUACUUAUCCUCCUAGAUUUCUAAAGAUUUUCAUAUCUCUUGUGUAUAUUGAAAUCAUUAAGUUCUAACAAACAACAACUUAUCCUUUUAGUCUGGUUUAGUCCGGUUUGGUAAAGAACUUCGUUUGAUUAUCUAGUAGUACAAAUGGAAACACACUAAAAAGCUUUUAAGUACAAAACAAGCUCAAAGAAUCGAGUUAACACACAGUUUUAUUACACCUAGAGAUUGCAUUCAAGGAAAAAAAAUGUUAAUAAACAAAGACUGAUUCAAGAUUCACCAAGACCUAGACGCUUAGAUCAUGUCAACUAGAAGCUUGACUUGGAAAUAGAUUGGGAACAACGUCCAUAUGAUGCGGCUGCAUACAAAGAAGUUGGUUAGAAUUGUUCUGCCCUGAUAAUCCUUGUGCGCCAAGGUUUGGUUCUGAAAACUGACUGCUCCCAUCAUAAUGAUUUGAGUUAAUGAUUUCUUGUUCAUUAGUACUCAUCCUUCUCCUCUUUGUUGUUGUACUCUGGCAAUCAUUAACUUCUUCUUCUUCUUCUUCAUCAAAGACGUCAGUCUUUGCUGGAUCAUGAAAUAUCUUGAACAGAUCCUCUUCAUCAAUAUAUUGUACAGAUUCAUCGUGGAUUAGAGGGAGACGUGUACCGAGAGGCAGUUGGAAAUCUGACUCCGAUUCCAAUCUCACAAUAUAUAAAGGUUUCUUUACAUAGUCAAGUCCAAAAAUGUAGCCAACCACACGACAAAACGGAGCUCUUGUUUCACGAAAAAGCAUAGUAGAACCUACUUUCAAAGUUCUAAGCGCUUUGAACCUCUCUAGUAUCGCAUAACGUUCCUGUAAUACCUGUGAUCACAAGCAGGGUUUCAUGCAUUUAAGGCAUGGAACUGCUAAAGAAAAAACGAGAAUAUAUGUAAAAAUUCCUCUUGAGAUUACCAUGUUCACAAAUUCAACGUUGGUUUGAUGCGCAGCUUCAAGGGUCUAGACUCUCUCUCUCUCUAUAGUGAGGAAAUAUCUCAACUAUCUCUUUACUACUUAUCCUCCUAGAUUUGUUCUAACAAACAACAACUUAUCCUUUUGUUUAGUCUGGUUUAAUCCGGUUUGGUAAAGUACUUCGUUUACCCGGUUAUUUAAGUACAAAUGUAUAAAAAUAUUGAUCAAUAUACAAAUAAAAAUGAACAUCCGCACGCCCGCGCGGGUCAAGCUAUAGUGUUUGUCUAAAGGUAGGAACACACACACUCAGAAAAAAAAUCCUCCAGAAACAAGCUCAUAAAGAAUAGAGCAAAACACACAGUUUUACACUAGAGGAGGUUUGUAUUCAAGGAAAAAGAAGUUAAUACACAGAGACUGAUUCAAGAUUCACCAAGACCUAGACGCUUAGAUCAUUGUCUUAAAUUUUUUAAUAAGACCAAUCUUGUCCUAAUAGGUACUACUCUGCACUGUUUCUGUUCUCUACAACUCAUCCUUCUCUUUGUUACCGACUUAAUAUGCUAGUAGAGGUUCUAAUUCCAUUUGGUUGUUUGGGAGAGAGAGAUUCUGAAAACAAGCCCUGAACAAUCCUCGUUACUUGAUCUUAUACACUAAGCAACAAAACAACAACAUACAUUUUCGCACAAUGCAAGUCCUUUCGGUAACUAACAAAGUACAGCUUUGUUUUACAAUGUUAAAUAUGAAUAAAGUUACACGCACUAUAAAGAACACAACAACACAGCAAAUUAUACAUACUUUUUUUUUUUAGUACAAACAAGUUUCAAAGAAUCAAGUAAACACACAAUUUGACACUAGAGGUCGUUCAACAAACAAUGAUUACAAUAGGGAUGAUCUAAGAUUCACAGAAAAGAAAGAAAAAAAGAAAACGAGCUCCCCUACCAAUCAAAUCAUCUACCACUGGAGACGAGCACAAUGAUCUUUU
rnacentral:lncRNA from 1 species